GACGAACGCUGGCGGCGUGCCUAAUACAUGCAAGUAGAACGCAGUUGCGAACGGGUGAGUAACGCGUAGGUAACUGCCUGGUAGCGGGGGAUAACUAUUGGAAACGAUAGCUAAUACCGCAUACUACCAGAUGGACCUGCGUUGUAUUAGCUAGUUGGUGGGGUAACGGCUCACCAAGGCAACGAUACAUAGCCGAACUGGAGGGGUGAUCGGCCACACUGGGACUGAGGCACGGCCCAGACUUCUACGGGAGGCAGCAGUAGGGGAACUUCGGCAAUGGGGGGAACGCUGGCCGAGCAACGCCGCGGGAUGGAAGAAGGGUUUCGGGUCGGAAAGCUCUGUUGUUAAGGAAGCGGUACUUAACCAGAAAGGGACGGCUAACUACGUGCCAGCAGCCGCGGUAAUAC
rnacentral:rRNA from 1 species